AUUUCGAUGAAAUAUCAUCCAUAUUUCAAACGCUAGUUUUGAUUUAAUCAAAAUAAAGAUAGAGAGGAAAAUUGUUCUCAUGAUUUGCUUCCCCCUUUUUAUCUCUACUAAAUCUAAAAAUCAAAAGGGCCACUCGCUUCUCUCACCCGAUGCAUCAAGGAGCCCUUUUCUGAAGUUGCCCUCCAGACGAGAGAAUCCUAGAAAGGCCCUAUUUUCCUCUGCCACUCUCAGUCCUCGCAGGUAAGGGGUCUCAUAGAGGACUAAAAUGGAUGAAAGUAUGAAGCAACUCCAACAAGGCUUCAUUGAGAUUGAAAUUGAAGCUGAGAAUGUCCUUUUAGCUCGACAUCAGCUAGUUGAGAAUGAUAGAGUGAGGAAUGGGAAUAGGGAAGCCCUUACAGCACUUAGGAAGAGGGCACGGACAACAAAAACCAGUGUUCCUUCUCCUUUUGAGUCGAUCAUGAAGGAGAUUGAGCAGCUUGAAUCAAGGCCUUUGGUGAAGGAGGUGUGUGCAACCUGUGGCAACCAUGACUCAAGGGAGAACACAUGGACGAUGUUCCCUGGAACUGAUGUUUUUUCUAGGAUUCCAUUUCAUGCUGCUCAUUCCAUUUUGGAGAAAGGCAAUGUAGAUCAAGAACGACUUGAUUAUGAUGCAAAGAAACUACAAAGCUACUUGAAGGAAAAAUCCUUUUUAAUUUCGGAGAAAGGUGUUCUUGCUGACAAGAUCAGCCCUGGUAUUAUCAGAUCUCUGGUGACCUUAACUGACAAGCCAAAAUAAUCGACUCCCAGAAGAAUACCCGCACAUUUCCACCUUUUGUCUUUGAAAUUUACAGAAGAAUGUAUCUUAUGUGUGUUAGUGAAAUAAAUUAUGCAGCCCAAUGAUAGUUGUGGUGUUGUCCAUGUUAUGGUAGAGGGAUUUGCUGAACUUUCUCAGUUGAGGUGAGUGAUAGAAGAAAAGCAACUUCAGAGAGAUGGAAAGAGCUUGCCCUUCUUCACUGCAAAGGAGAAAAUAGAUAGAGCUGUAGCAGGAAAAUUGGAGGCAUGCCAAAUGAAAGUUUCCAUGUAAUUAUAGGAGAUUUUGAUGAAACUGUAAUACUGAUUUAAAUAAUAAUCAUUUUAAGGUCCAUCCAGUGUUUGGAUGUCUCUUGUUUAUUGGCUGAGUGUGUUAGAAAGCUUCCCUGUUUGAGUAAAUUAAUAAAGCGAGGUUCAAGUCUACCUAA